rfam:Lepisosteus oculatus linkage group LG12, whole genome shotgun sequence.
GUCAGCAGCCAUAUCACCCUGCAACUGACAUCUGGCAACCCACUGAAGCUAAGCAGGUGUGAGCCUGGUCAGUACCUGAAUGGGAGACCUCCUGGGAAACACUAAGGUUGCUGCUGGAA